AGCUAGAGCGGCGCAGUGGAAGCGUGCCGCCCAUAACCCAGGAGGUCCGUGGAUCGAAACCACGCCUGGUUA
rnacentral:tRNA from 13 species